CACCGCCCAGCGGCAACGUCACGUCCUCGUUCACGCGGGGCUCGGGCUGGUAACGGGAAAUAAUUACUGGAAGAGUGAAGUUGAUGUGUCACAGCAUCAUCUGGGACUCCGGCAGUGCGUGAGAUUUCUUUCAGCAGCUUCCUCUGUGCCGGGCAGCUAGUGCCGCAGCUGAGCGCGCUUCCUUGGAGCGGUGACCGCUAUGAUCCUAGCUACAGCAGCAAGCUGCCAAAAUCAACAAGGAAUCCAGCAGCAUAAGCUUCCCCACGGGAGCGGGCUUGCCAGAGGUAGUUAGGAUGUUGGUGGUGAUGCGUGCACCGUUUCCACUGUACGGCUUUCUACUCUCUUUCUUUGCUGCAGGCAAAUCUCAUGUCCCAUCUUCCCUCAGGGGAACAACUUCAGUGGCCGCGCUUCUGUGUCAGCAAGAGCACAGCUGUGGUCCUCAUAAUUAGCUCAGAAGCGCAGCCAUGAGUGAAAAGAAAGCCAUAGAAACCCCCCCCCCCCCCCCCCCCCCCGACAGCGAGGCUGUGAUGAAGAUAAACCUCUCAGCACCCACAAAAUGUUUGAUUCACUAAAUACUCCUAUUUGGUGCAUCCUCAUGAAGGGCCGGAUAUCUGAUCCUGAAGUGCUGAGCGCAGGAGUUGGGGUCUUCGUGGUCUCAGGAUCUGGCUUUUGAUUUCAGCUUACGAAUGAAUUUUUUGCAUCCUGUACUUUUUGGUCUUUGGCUAGGAAUGAGAGAGAGAAAAGGGAGACCCAGAUGAUGCUUCAUAAACAUUUCUAUUGCAAUGGUGAUUGGACUCCUACCAAUUUUGCUCUGACGUACUGGUUAUUCUCUGGUUGCGUCGAUAUUGUGUCCAGUGGAAAUGGCUCUGUGGUCACUGUGUCCAGAAAGCCCUGUUGCUGUGCUCUCAUCACCUUGGCACACCUGUCCAAUGCAUUCUCACAUUCAUAUGUACUUUGAGUUCAGCCUCAGUAGCCUGCACGGGUUGGUAGCAAGUCUUUUAACUUUGUGCCCCAAGAUGGAACAGUCUCAGAGGUAGCAUAAAAUGGAAGAAUUAUGGUCAUAUUUUGCUGGGGGGGAAAAAACCCUUCUCUGCAAAAUAUGAAGACAGGAUGCAUCUUACCCUCCCCUCAGAUGUUGUAAAGCAGUACCCCAGGUUUUCUCAAGAAGAGAAAAGGAUACUUCAAAUAGAGCAUCUCCACUGGGUUCUCUUUUUCACGCGCUGUCCUGGCACUAGAAAGGCAGCAAAGAGGGAGGAGGAAUCUACAGAGCAAACUGCAAAAUGCCCCUACAUACCAUAUACGCUCAUCACCAGCUGCUCCUUCAUAGACACCAGUUUACACACACACACACACACAUUGGCAAGGUUACUAAUUCAGUUCUGUAUGCCUGUCACAAUUGCUGGCUGCAUUUAUAACUGCCUUGCAACACCACAAAUAAGAGAACAAAACUAAGCAAAGUCAGUUUAGGAAAGAAUUCCUUCCUCCCCCCAACUUGCAAAGGAACUCAACUGAGCCAGGGUAAGCCUGAGCAAACAGGUAAAUCUUGCAACACACCCUCCAGGUCAACAAAUUGGCUCUGUCAAACCAAUGGAGUAAUUGGAUUCCAGAGCCAAGGCCACCCGCACCCCACUGAUAAGGCCCUUCCUCCAGCCCCCGCCAAGGAAUUCAGACCUGGGGACUGCUAGUAAUAUGUCCCAGCUGAUUUCAAGUGGUGGGAUGAUGCACAAGGAGCAAGGCUGUCCUGUGCUGGUAACAGAGGAGAACAUGUUCACGUUUCUGUGCUCCCUCUCUGUCCAUAUACACACACCCCACUCCAGAGGGAAUGCCUCAUGCAGAACAGGAGACAUGCUUGGCUAUUAAAUGGCCAAUGAAUUCACGCCAUCUGCUUCAGAUUACUAGCUGAGUGACAGCUUCACAUGGGUCAGUGACUCUCAUUAUCCCAACAAGAGACUGCCAUGUGCCUGCAUGUCAGGAAUUGUGCUUAAUUUUUACACUGCUGAUUAACUAGUGAUUUCAUCCUCUGCCCAUCUGGGUGAAUUUAGGAGGGGAUGGGGACUAGUUCACUGGACAUUUGGGGAAAUGUUGAAUGUUGGAUUGCACAAUGUUUGUGUUUCAAAGACCAUGUGGUGCUAUUAGAUGCUGGCAGAUUCCCAGGGGCCAUGCUCUUUAUCAUGCAAGUUAUUAAGUCAUUCCUGCUUUAGUUUCUCCCCAUCCAGAUCCCAAAGUUGGUGAGGACUGAGUGUUCAUUUUACUGUAAAAACUGAGCAUGUUUAUCCCAGAACCUUGCUAUGCUUGGGGAUCAUGUCUCCUUGUUUUUCUUCUCUCAUGAGAUGAUUCUGGAGAAGUGACUAGGAGAUGCAAAGGAACCAGGUGACAUCUGAAUUGCUGAGUCCGCAAAGGGGCCUUUAGGCCAUCCCUCCCAGCUGCCACCCUUGGCUUUUGCUUUUCAGGCUCACUCAUGUGAUUUAUUAAAGAGCCAUGGUUUACAAAAGGAGGCAGGCGUCCAUGUGCACACUAUCAAAACCAGUCCAUAAAUUUCCCUUUUAACAGCUUUUGUUCUGGAGACAUCAGUCCCUUGGCUGGCCUAGGGCUCGUUAAUAAAAAUGAAGCCUUUUUGGAAACAGUUGUUGCUUGUAUGAUACAUGAGCCCUGCAAAUAACCAUUGUCCCCAGUCCAUCAUUAGCAGGUUUUUCUCUUUCCUUCCCACCCCCCGACCAUUGAUUUAAAGCUGAAGUCUCUGUAAUCAAUGCAUGAAGUUUGGUCCGUUCUCAAAACCAGCUAUUCCAGCAUGAGCUAGAUUUUUUUUAUGCAAAUCAGGUCCUGAGCUCUGGAAUAUGGCAGUGACCUGAAGAAUCUGAAGUAAAGAUAAAAUUAAUAGUAAUUAAGAUAUGCUUUUUUGCUAUAACUUCUAUAUCUUGGCCAAGGUAGAAGACACCCCAGAGGCUCUCUGGGGCUGGGACUGUUUUUAUUCUUGUGUCCUGUAUAGCAUUGAACAACUUGGCCCUUAAACAACCAAUAAUCCAAUUCUGGGUUUGGGUGGCUGGCUGGCUCAGGAGAUAGAUAAUUGGCUAGGGAGCCUUUCCUCUUCUAGGAUGCUGUCUGAAGACAGUCUAUGUCGAUAGUUACUGAGUUAUUAUCAGCUGUUGGCUGUUCGGUGGAUCUGUGCCGGAAUGAAUCGGGUCUCAGAACCAUUGCUAGUGGACAUGUGCUCACGACCACCACAGAGAUUGAUUCAGAGAUUCCAAGGCCAGAAGGGACCUUUCUGAUCACUGAGUGUGAGCUCCUGUACAACACAACCAUAGAACAGUCCCAAAAUAGUUCCUAGAUCAGGUCUUUUAGAAAAACAUCCAAUCUUGUUUUAAAAAUUGCCAGUGAUGGAGAAUCCAUCACAACCCUUGAUAAAUUGUUCCAAUGGUUAGUUACCCUCACUGUUAAAAA